GACGAACGCUGGCGGCGUGCCUAAUACAUGCGAGUAGAACGCACAGUUUAUACCGUAGCUUGCUACACCAUAGACUGUGAGUUGCGAACGGGUGAGUAACGCGUAGGUAACCUGCCUGGUAGCGGGGGAUAACUAUUGGAAACGAUAGCUAAUACCGCAUAAUAUUGAUUAUUGCAUGAUAAUUGAUUGAAAGAUGCUAUUGCAUCACUACCAGAUGGACCUGCGUUGUAUUAGCUAGUAGGUGAGGUAACGGCUCACCUAGGCGACGAUACAUAGCCGACCUGAGAGGGUGCUCGGCCACACUGGGACUGAGACACGGCCCAGACUCCUACGGGAGGCAGCAGUAGGGAAUCUUCGGCAAUGGACGAAAGUCUGACCGAGCAACGCCGCGUGAGUGAAGAAGGUUUUCGGAUCGUAAAGCUCUGUUGUAAGAGAAGAACGGGUGUGAGAGUGGAAAGUUCACACUGUGACGGUAUCUUACCAGAAAGGGACGGCUAACUACGUG
rnacentral:rRNA from 1 species